rnacentral:rRNA from 1 species
AUUGAACGCUGGCGGCAGGCUUAACACAUGCAAGUCGAACGAGUGGCGGACGGGUGAGUAAUGUCUGGGAAACUGCCUGUUAGUGGGGGAUAACUACUGGAAAAGGUACCUCAUACCGCAAACCAUCGGAUGGGCCCAGAUCGGUUUAGCUAGUAGGUGGGGUAAAGGCUCACCAAGGCUACGGUCCCUAGCUGGUCUGAGAGGAUGACCAGCAAAAGUGGAACGGAGUCACGGUCCAGACUCCAACGGGAGGCAGCAGUGGGGAAUAUUGGACAAUGGGCAAAAGCCUGAUGAAGGCAUGCCGCGUGUAUGAAGGGGGCCGUCGGGUGGUAAAGUACUUUCAGCGGGGAGGCGUUACCCGCAGAAGAAGCACAGGCUAACUACGUGCCAGCAGCCGCGGUAAUAC